CCUACGGGAGGCAGCAGUGGGGAAUAUUGGACAAUGGGCGAAAGCCUGAUCCAGCCAUGCCGCGUGUGUGAAGAAGGCCUUCGGGUUGUAAAGCACUUUCAGUGGGGAAGAAAGCCUUGGGGCUAAUACCCUCGAGGAAGGACAUCACCCACAGAAGAAGCACCGGCUAACUCCGUGCCAGCAGCCGCGGUAAUACGGAGGGUGCGAGCGUUAAUCGGAAUUACUGGGCGUAAAGCGCGCGUAGGCGGUCUGAUAAGCCGGUUGUGAAAGCCCCGGGCUCAACCUGGGAACGGCAUCCGGAACUGUCAGGCUAGAGUGCAGGAGAGGAAGGUAGAAUUCCCGGUGUAGCGGUGAAAUGCGUAGAGAUCGGGAGGAAUACCAGUGGCGAAGGCGGCCUUCUGGACUGACACUGACGCUGAGGUGCGAAAGUGUGGGUAGCAAACAGGAUUAGAUACCCGGGUAGUC
rnacentral:rRNA from 1 species